CCUGGAAUAACAGCAGAGUGGCCACCAAAAGUCACAGUAGUAUAUCCUGAAUGGCCAGAAGUCCACAGGUAUACUGUAUAUUGGAAUGCUGGAGUGAAUUACACCCUGUCUACAUACAGCGUGUGGAAUUUACAGAAUUGCCUGGGCUUUGCAGGACCACCAAAAUGACAGGAGUAAAACCCAUCACACUUUUUUUCGAAAGCCGCGGGAGAGGAAUGACAUACCAAAAGCUACAAGAAGCCGGAUGAGAAAGUAACAUACUUCUGGCAGCGUGUUAUCAAUGGGGAGGCAACAGUGCAUUCCCUCUUUCCAGCCCAGUGGAACGGUGAGCUGGAACCGACACUGACAGAUGACACGGCCCUUCCACAGUGAUGCCUGUGUGAGCUGACAGCUCCACUGGCAGUCAGUCAAGUUCAUGCUUUGCAGUGGAAUUUUAACAGGCUUGAUUUGCAGAAUAUGCUCUGCCUACUUCUCAGCUUGUAGGAGCAAUGAAUAAAAAUUUCAAAGCAUUCACAUUAAAUAGUAGAUUCUAGGGUCUGUUACCCAACCUUCAUUUCCCCUCAAAGUUAAGAGUAAUAACAGUAAAUAAAAUUUUGAAGAAAAAAAACUAGGGUAUCUAGGAAAGGAACGAUUCUUCCCUUAAAAUGAGAUUUUCUAUAAAUCAAAGCAGGUCACAUAUUAGUCAAAAUCUCUCAAGAAGACAAUACGCCAAAUUUCUGAAGGUAAGUGUGGUUUAAUCCUAAAAAUAAAUGUAUUCAUGUGUGUCUUCGUGUGUGUGUGUGUGUGUGUAUGUAUGUACCGAAUUCACAGUAGAGGGACUGACUGAUUUAAUAUGCAUUUAAAACUUACUGAAUAUACUGAAAAACUGCUUCCCAGUAUUAUAAAGUGUUUUCUUUAAGAGAAUGAGUCUUGCUCAUUGACUUCAAAGUUUUAGGUCAUGCUUUAUAUUUUACAUUUUUACAGCGUGUUCUCUUUGAACAAGACAUUUGUGAAGCUGAUUUUCCUGUGUGACUUUUGUAAAGUUAUUGUUCUCUGUUUCAAUUCCUUCAUCAACAAGACGUAGCUAAUCACCUUGUCACCAUCAACGGUAUCUCACAGGCUCAAAGCAAGAAAUAAGGGUAUCAGGCGUUGGUGACUGGACAGCCAAAUUAGACUGGCAGAGGUGCUGUGAAUUUCUCUGUUUAAUGCCCCAAGCCUGCACAGUUUCCCUCCAGUUUAUGUAGCCUCUGCUCUCUGCCUGGCACUGUGUCUCUUUACACAUUCGUGUUGCUUGCAUGGGCUCUGAAAGCAAUUGAGUCUGUGACUGUGGCUUCAUCAACCACUGUAUUCUAACUCCUUCACAUAGAAACAUAGAAACACUCUAACACUCUUGGUUUCAAAACUCCCUAUAAAUGGAAGAAAUAGAUAGGAUUUAAUGGUGGAGCCAGGCAAAUGCAAAUGAAAUAAACAUACAAUUACAAAAACCAACUAAAAAACAAGGGCAAUACUGGCAUCUAAUACAAACUCUCUUCCAAGGCUGAUCACUAGCAUGGGACUGCAGUCCCUGGAACACUCCUGACCAGUUCUGCCCUUCCAAAGCCAGCACCCCUCCCCCAAUAAACAAACCUGUAGUAAGGAACUGAGACUAGCAAUCUUUCCUCAGGCCAAGGUAAAUGACUCAUUUGUAACUCGGGUUAUCUCGUCAGUUAUGCUCACAGACUCAACCUUCACAUAUGCACAAUUAUAGGUGAUUAAAGGAAGUGAUAGGAAAGGCAUAUGUAAGAAGGACAAAUUUCUGAAAUGUCUUGAAAAAGGUUCAUGGAUUGGCAGGGGAAACCAAGAGUCAUUUUAAGCAGAGAGAAUAGUUUUUGAAAAGGAUCGGAGAUGAGAAGGACUAAGUUAUCGCUGCUAGGAUGGAGCCCAUGUGGUUUGUAGUGAGGGAAAGAUAAGGUUGGAUUCCCUGGAUUAACUACAAAUACCAAGUACUACAGCAUGCCAGUUUGUAAGGAAACACAUUUCCUAGACUGCAUACAAAAGCCAAGUAAAAUACAAUGAUCUUCCAUUUGUUUUAUGGUAAUUGGACGUUUAUUUCAUAAAGUAAGUACUGCUGUUAUAUCAUGACCCAUGAUAAAAAGGGAAACUUGCCAGUUUACAUUUUACCCAUCAUGACCUUGAAUAUUAAAAUAGAGUAGGGGUCUUUUCCUCCAAAUCAAAUGACUCACAAAGCAAGUCACUAAGAGGAGAGGGUGUGAAGCCAGGAUGGAAGCGUCCCCCUUCCGCCCACCCCCUGGCUUCCAUCUCCCCAGAGAAUGAUGGUGGUGGCCAGCAGAGCACAACUUGGACGUGAGCCAGGCAAGAUUUAACGAUGGUCAGCUGGGAUUCAUCUGUUAUGGAACCAGACACUUUAUUUACUAUUUAUUAAGUAGAUGCUAUUCAUAUAGUGUUGGGAUACUUUAUAGGAUGAGAAGUCUUGAGCUAAUUUCAUGUUUGUAUAUCCUGUUUCCCUAAUAAUGAAUAUUUUUCCAUAUCCUUUAAUGCAGCUAGAAAGCAAGCUUAAUUCAAUCACUCACAAAUACCUCCUUAGGGAACCAACACGAGAAUAUAAAAUCCAGAAGAAUAAGUUUUUGAAUUACUUUCCUUUUUUUGAGGAUGGAAGGGACCAUCUUUGUGUAUGGAUAUCAGGAUUUUAUUCCUGCUAAUGAUAAUUUAUGUUCAUUUAGGCUGAGAGUUGGACCUCACAUUACAAAUUGUGUUUGGUGGUUUAUUAUUAUUUAUUUAUUUAUCUAUCUAUCUAUUUACUAUUUUGGUAUCAUUAAUCUAUA